CCCUGCUCCCCUUGCCCUUCCAACAUUGGCAGCACAGACCUUGUGCUUCAGUCACCUUUGCAGGGGAGAAUUCAGGCUUAUGCUGGGAGACGCAUGCUCAGAAGGAGAUGACAACGCACGGAAGUGGCAGGGCACCAAAAGCCCACGGGGUGCCUGGGGACGAGGGCUAUUUGCGGAACUAGAGACAUGCCAAGAAAAGGUGUGUCUGAUCUGCUGCCUCACUCCUCUGCCCGUACACGCCUGCGUGAGCCUGGUAUGCACACUACAGCAUCCAGCAGAGAAGGCUGAAAAGUUGUGCAGUGGUCACCUUCUAAGGAUGGAAUUAUAAGACGCAGAUCAGAUGAGGUGAAGCAGCACAGAGUCCUGCAGAGCCUGGCUUUUCGACGUGGGCAUUUUGUUCUUUGUGCAGCAUCUCCCAGAAGCACACGCUGAAGACUUCCCUGUAGUGUGACCUCUGAAGGACAGAGCGAUCCUGGGAUCGGGGCAGAAAGCUGAAUCUGGGAGUAAAACUGCUCCAUGAGGCUAUGAGAGGAAUUCUAUAGGCUCCAUAUAUCAUUGCAAUAGUAAAUUUGUUGCUGCUAUUGUAUUUGGAAGGCGAUCCGGGAGCAGAGAAAGCAAGCUCUGAGAUGCUUUGUAAAAGUGCCGCCUGGCUCCAUCUGCAGGUGGCAGCUGAGAUGACAGCCACGCUCGGUUUGGAGGCAGACUCCACGCAGCUGGAAGCAGAGCAAGAAGCUGCUCCUCAGCCCUGCACAGAAAACUCGCCCACUGAAAGUCAAUCUCCACUCUUUUAUGGCUUCUCUCUCUAAAAGUAAAGAUUGUUGGGUCUGUGCUGAUUUUGUGCAUUUGGACUUUUGGAAUAGCCCCACUCUCCCUUGGUUUUCCUGGGGGGUGCCCUGGAGCUUGGCUGGAAAAGUUCAGGGUUCCCAUGUGUGAUAUGCAGUGAACAAACUGAUGAGCAGGGCAUGAGGAGUUUGGGGUUUGGCUCCACACCUGAGCUGGGAUGGUUGUUGGGGGCUGUUGGUGUUGGCUCUGGGGGCCCACAGCUGCUGCCUGUUCCCUUCCCUUCCCAGUAACGUUCCUGCA
ensembl:lncRNA